rnacentral:rRNA from 1 species
GAUGAACGCUGGCGGCGUGCCUAAUACAUGCAAGUCGAGCGAACAGACGAGGAGCUUGCUUCUCUGACGUUAGCGGCGGACGGGUGAGUAACACGUGGAUAACCUACCUAUAAGACUGGGAUAACUUCGGGAAACCGGAGCUAAUACCGGAUGAUAUUUUGAACCGCAUGGUUCAAUAGUGAAAGACGGUCUUGCUGUCACUUAUAGAUGGAUCCGCGCUGCAUUAGCUAGUUGGUAAGGUAACGGCUUACCAAGGCAACGAUGCGUAGCCGACCUGAGAGGGUGAUCGGCCACACUGGAACUGAGACACGGUCCAGACUCCUACGGGAGGCAGCAGUAGGGAAUCUUCCGCAAUGGGCGAAAGCCUGACGGAGCAACGCCGCGUGAGUGAUGAAGGUCUUCGGAUCGUAAAACUCUGUUAUUAGGGAAGAACAUAUGUGUAAGUAACUGUGCACAUCUUGACGGUACCUAAUCAGAAAGCCACGGCUAACUACGUG